ACUAGAAAUCCCUUUCCGAUUUAUCGGGAUGUAGGCAGGUUGAAGACUACGACCUUGAUAGGGUGUAGGUGUAAGCAUAGUAAUAUGUUUAGCCAAGCACUACUAAUAUGCCAAUCGGCUUGGUGCC
rnacentral:rRNA from 1 species